rnacentral:misc_RNA from 1 species
UCUCUCCCACAACUUCAUAGUAUGGCUCAAUUCUACAUAAUGACUCGUUAAAUGUUAUUGUUCUCAACUAGUACAUGCACCCAAAAUCAACACGCCGGAAACAUAGCUUACCAAAUAUGACAAGUUACAGUCAACUACCUGUGCUACAACUACAAAGCAACACCUAUCUCACCUGAUACGGAUUAAACCCUGGCAUCAUUG